rnacentral:rRNA from 1 species
UACGAAGGGUGCAAGCGUUACUCGGAAUUACUGGGCGUAAAGCGUGCGUAGGUGGUGAGUUAAGUCUGUCGUGAAAUCCCUGGGCUCAACCCAGGAACUGCGUCCGAUACUGGUUGGCUUGAAUCCGGGAGAGGGAUGUGGAAUUCCAGGUGUAGCGGUGAAAUGCGUAGAUAUCUGGAGGAACACCGGUGGCGAAGGCGACAUCCUGGACCGGUAUUGACGCUGAGGCGCGAAAGCCAGGGGAGCAAACGGG